GGGGAGAUACUCAAGCGGCCAACGAGGACAGACUGUAAAUCUGUUGUUUUUUAACUUCGCAGGUUCGAAUCCUGCUCUCCCCACCA
rnacentral:tRNA from 2 species